rnacentral:rRNA from 1 species
GUGUAUGCCAUACCACACCUGAUCUUGUCUGAUCUUGCCUGAUCUUGUAAGCUAAGCAUGGCCGAGCCUAGUUAGUACUUGGAUGGGAGACUGCCUGGCAAUACUGGAUGCUGUAGGCU